UACGGGAGGCAGCAGUGGGGAAUUUUGGACAAUGGGCGAAAGCCUGAUCCAGCAAUGCCGCGUGUGUGAAGAAGGCCUUCGGGUUGUAAAGCACUUUUGUCCGGAAAGAAAUCCUUGGCUCUAAUACAGUCGGGGGAUGACGGUACCGGAAGAAUAAGCACCGGCUAACUACGUGCCAGCAGCCGCGGUAAUACGUAGGGUGCGAGCGUUAAUCGGAAUUACUGGGCGUAAAGCGUGCGCAGGCGGUUUGCUAAGACCGAUGUGAAAUCCCCGGGCUCAACCUGGGAACUGCAUUGGUGACUGGCAGGCUAGAGUAUGGCAGAGGGGGGUAGAAUUCCACGUGUAGCAGUGAAAUGCGUAGAGAUGUGGAGGAAUACCGAUGGCGAAGGCAGCCCCCUGGGCCAAUACUGACGCUCAUGCACGAAAGCGUGGGGAGCAAACAGGAUUAGAUACCCUGGUAGUCCACGCCCUAAACGAUGUCAACUAGUUGUUGGGGAUUCAUUUCCUUAGUAACGUGGCUAACGCGUGAAGUUGACCGCCUGGGGAGUACGGUCGCAAGA
rnacentral:rRNA from 1 species